rnacentral:rRNA from 1 species
UGCAUCGGAACGUGCCCAGUCGUGGGGGAUAACUACUCGAAAGAGUGGCUAAUACCGCAUACGAUCUGCGGAUGAAAGCGGGGGACCUUCGGGCCUCGCGCGAUUGGAGCGGCCGAUGUCAGAUUAGGUAGUUGGUGGGGUAAAAGCCUACCACGGCGAUGAUCUGUAACUGGUCUGAGAGGACGACCAGUCACACUGGGACUGAGACACGGGCCAGACUCCUACGGGAGGCAGCAGUGGGGAAUUUUGGACAAUGGGCGCAAGCCUGAUCCAGCAAUGCCGCGUGUGUGACGAAGGCCUUCGGGUUGUAAAGCACUUUUGUUCGGGAAGAAAUCCGCCGGGCUAAUAUCCUGGCGGGAUGACGGUACCGGAAGAAUAAGCACCGGCUAACUACGUGCCAGCAGCCGCGGUAAUACGUAGGGUGCGAGCGUUAAUCGGAAUUACUGGGCGUAAAGCGUGCGCAGGCGGCGCUGUAAGACAGAUGUGAAAUCCCCGGGCUCAACCUGGGAACUGCAUUUGUGACUGCAGUGCUAGAGUGUGUCAGAGGGGGUUGGAAUUCCACGUGUAGCAGUGAAAUGCGUAGAGAUGUGGAGGAACACCGAUGGCGAAGUCAGCCCCCUGGGAUAACACUGACGCUCAGGCACGAAAGCGUGGGGAGCAAACAGGAUUAGAUAGCCUGGUAGUCCACGCCCUAAACUAUGUCUACUAGUUGUCGGGGAUUUAUUUCCUUGGUAACGCAGCUAACGCGUGAAGUAGACCGCCUGGGGAGUACGGCCGCAAGGUUAAAACUCAAAGGAAUUGACGGGGACCCGCACAAGCGGUGGAUGAUGUGGAUUAAUUCGAUGCAACGCGAAAAACCUUACCUACGCUUGACAUGU